rnacentral:rRNA from 1 species
GACGAACGCUGGCGGCGUGCUUAACACAUGCAAGUCGAACGGAAAGGCCCUGCUUUUGUGGGGUUCUCGAGUGGCGAACGGGUGAGUAACACGUGAGUAACCUGCCCUUGACUUUGGGAUAACUUCAGGAAACUGGGGCUAAUACCGUAUAGGAGCUCCUGCUGCAUGGUGGGGGUUGGAAAGUCUCGGCGGUUGGGGAUGGACUGGCGGCUUAUCAGCUUGCUGGUGGGGUAGUGGCUUACCCAGGCUUUGACGGGUAGCCGGCCUGAGAGGGUGACCGGCCACAUUGGGACUGAGGUACGGCCCAGAGUCGUACGGGAGGCAGCAGGGGGGAAUAUUGCACAAUGGGAGGAAGCCUGAUGCAGCAACGCCGCGUGCGGGAUGACGGCCUUCGGGUUGUAAACCGCUUUCGCCUGUGACGAAGCGUGAGUGACGGUAAUGGGUAAAGAAGCACCGGCUAACUACGUG